rnacentral:lncRNA from 1 species
AAAAUGUCAUUGCCUAGCAGUAACCGGGCUGCAGUCAGUGCUUCAAUCUAGAGGCCAAUUCCAAUGACGUUUGUUCAUCCCACCUAAGUAUUCCAGUCUUUGUGAUGCAUUAGAGGGUUGGUCUAACUGUAAGAGAAGCACAACUGAUGUUUCUGAUUCCUUAUGCAUUGCAGGCUGGACAACAGGCUGGACAACACUAUUCACUAAACAGAAUAGUGAGAUGUAUGCAUUGCAGGCUGGACAACAGGCUGGACAACACUAUUCACUAAACAGAAUAGUGAGACGUCACCUGAGCCAGUCAAACCUGAAGUCAAGGCUACAGAGAAGAAAGAACUAUUUGAAUCAAAACCCAAAUUUCAGGAGCACAUCAUUCAAGCCUCUAACCCAGCAGAAUCAAUAAAAAGGCCAAGUCCAGGUAAACCAAUGACAAAUUUGGAACUAAAAAGUAUCUGCCUGCCUAAAACAAGCAUUUGAUAAACUGUCGUAAGGGAAUGAAUAAGAUAAGAAAGAGACAGUGAAGAAAUCAAGAUUGGGACCUCAUGUGAAAAUGGAGGGUGUUCAAAGACACCUCAGGGUGCAUAGAAUCUAGAGAAAGCCUGUGUCUAUCAUUCUGGAGCACCUCUUUUCCAGGAGGAGAUGAAACUCUGAAACUAUUGAAAAUAAAAGAAACUUCUGAUUUUAGUAUGUUCUUAGCCCAAGAGGGCUGUGCAAAAAGGAAACACACGUAGACCAUGGAAAAAAAAUGCUGGGAACAAAGUUAUUCCAUGUAGACAUGCCUGGCAUCAGGCAAGAGGUCACAAUUUCCAUAGAUGCUAAAAACUCACUUCCAGAACUUAGUUGAGUAGAAGCAAAUAGUACAUUAUUAAAUGCGUACACUGCAUUUGAAUGUGGCUCAUUGCAUGGUGGCUCAUGCCUAUGAUCCCAGCACUUUGGGAGGCCAAGGCCAGUGGAUCACUUGAGCCUAGGAGUUCAAGUCCAGCCUGGCCGACAUGACGAAACCCGUCUCUACUAAAAUACAAAAGUUAGCCAGGUGUAGUGGUACAUGCCUGUAAUCCCAGCUGAUUGGGAGUCUGAGGCAUGAGAAUCACUUGAACCUGGGAAGCAGAGGUUGCAGUAACCGAGGUUGCACCACUGUACUCCAGCCUGGGCAACAGAGCAAGACUCUGUCUCAACAACAACAUCAACAACAAAACCAACGCAUUGUAUUUGAAGAAGAGAAGAAAUUUCAUCAAAAUGCAAAAUUAUGGAUUGUGAUUGUUGAAAAGUGAAGUUAGGUAGCUAUGACUGCAAUGCAGACAGAGAGCACAGUAAGAAUAGCUGGUCCUAUGCAAUAGGCACACCUUGAAUUGCCUGCAACCAAAAGGCAAGAAAAACAAACAGAAGAUACAACAGAUUGA